rfam:Schistosoma curassoni strain Dakar, Senegal genome assembly, scaffold: SCTD_contig0000627
GUACAGCUGACGAGUUUCAAAUAGGACGAAACGCGCGUCCUGGAU